rnacentral:rRNA from 1 species
AGUGAACGCUGGCGGUAGGCCUAAUACAUGCAAGUCGAACGGCCGCACAGUAAGAUCUUGCUCUUACGGGUGGCGAGUGGCGGACGGGUGAGGGAUACACCGGAAUCUACUUUUUCGUGGGGGAUGACGUAGGGAAACUUACGCUUAUACCGCAUACCCUAUAAGUGUUUAUGCAGGGGUUCUUCAGUCCUUGCGCCAUUGAAUCAGCCGAUGUCGGAUUAUCUAGUUGGCGGGGUAAAGGCCCACCAAGGCGACGAUCCGUAGCUGGUCUGAGAGGAUGAUCAGCCACACUGGAACUGAGACACGGUCCAGACUCCUACGGGAGGCAGCAGUGGGGAAUAUUGGACAAUGGGCGCAAGCCUGAUCCAGCCAUACCGCGUGGGUGAAGAAGGCCUUCGGGUUGUAAAGCCCUUUUGUUGGGAAAGAAAAGCAGCAGGUUAAUACCCCGCUGUUCUGACGGUACCCAAAGAAUAAGCACCGGCUAACUUCGUG